CAUUAAGAAGCUAUGUAACUUAGCCUUUUAAGCAUAGAGAAAGAGGAGCACCAAACCUCCUUAAUGA
rnacentral:tRNA from 1 species